GAAAAGGGGGCUAAUACCGGAUAAUACCUAAAGUCGAGUGGCUUAAGGUUGAAAGAUUUAUCACUGAAGGAUGGGUCUGCGUACCAUUAGUUAGUUGGUGGGGUAACGGCCUACCAAGACGACGAUGGUUAGCGGGUCUGAGAAGAUGAUCCGCCACACUGGAACUGAGACACGGUCCAGACUCCUACGGGAGGCAGCAGUGGGGAAUUUUGCGCAAUGGGCGAAAGCCUGACGCAGCAAUACCGCGUGAGUGAAGAAGGCCUUUGGGUCGUAAAGCUCUUUUCUGGGGGAAGAUAAUGACGGUACCCCAGGAAUAAGCACCGGCUAACUCCGUGCCAGCAGCCGCGGUAAUACGGAGGGUGCAAGCGUUGUUCGGAUUUACUGGGCGUAAAGNGCNCGUAGGCGGCNUANUAAGUUANNGNUGAAAUCCCGGAGCUCAACUCCGGAACUGCUCUUAAAACUGCUAAGCUAGAGAUGGUCAGAGGCGGGUAGAAUUCCUGGUGUAGAGGUGAAAUUCGUAGAUAUCAGGAGGAAUAC
rnacentral:rRNA from 1 species